rnacentral:lncRNA from 1 species
GUAGUAUUUUCCCCACACCAUUCAAGAAAAAAGAAAAGGGGCCGGGGCUCAAAUUUCAUUAAAACCCUGAGAUGCGAUAACAGCAUAAAGAAACCAACUUUCUGAGCUUUGCGACCGUAUAAACCUUAAACCCUCGGGAUUCUGGAGCUUUCAGAGUUGCUUUCGUGGAAGCUGAUGAGGGAGAGGAUGUCCUUAGCGACGGAGAUGACCUCAGGAUUGAUGCCAUCACU